AGUUCAGAUUCGUGAAGAUGAGAAAACCUCUGCUGUUCUCUUUCAUCAUCCAACGCUCUAUGAAAGAAACACACAUAAAUGGAAAGCUGAAGAGGAGAGUCAUGUCGAGUAUGUGUCUGUCAGCAUGAGAAGAUGAUUCAAUCUUUUUCUAAAUACCAGAUCACCACAAGUAGCAACGAUUCUGGAAACAAAAGAAGGAUAUUUUAGACUUUUCCUCCAGUUUUACUGUGAGAAUAAGCAGGACAUACAAAUAUGAAAAUAUUGAGAGUAAUAUUCAAGUGAAUAUGAAUUUCUCAUCUUUAAUUCACAAAACAAAUCCAUUAAAAUUCAAUAAAAGCACUAUUUUCUCACUGUCA